CCUACGGGAGGCAGCAGUGGGGGAUAUUGCACAAUGGGGGGAACUCUGAUGCAGCGACGCCGCGUGGGCGAUGGAGUGCUUCGGCAUGUAAAGCCCUAUCAUCAGGGAAGAAAAUGACGGUACCUGACUAAGAAGCCCCGGUUAAAUAAGUGCCAGCAGCCACGGGAAUACGUAAGGGGCAAGCGGUAUCCAGAUUUACUGGGUGGAAAGGGAGCGUAGGCGGCCUGGGAAGCCUGGUGUGAAAUACCGGGGCGCAACCCCGGGGCUGCAUUGGGAACUGGCAGGCUGGAGUGCCGGAGAGGCAAGCGGAAUUCCUAGUGUAGCGGUGAAAUGCGUAGAUAUUAGGAGGAACACCAGUGGCGAAGGCGGCCUGCUGGACGGUGACUGACGCUGAGGCUCGAAAGCGUGGGGAGCAAACAGGAUUAGAUACCCCGGUAGUC
rnacentral:rRNA from 1 species